AAACUCAAAUGAAUUGACGGGGACCCGCACAAGCGGUGGAUGAUGUGGAUUAAUUCGAUGCAACGCGAAAACCUUACCUACCCUUGACAUGUCUGGAAUCCUUGAGAGAUCAGGGAGUGCCUUCGGGAGCCAGAACACAGGUGCUGCAUGGCUGUCGUCAGCUCGUGUCGUGAGAUGUUGGGUUAAGUCCCGCAACGAGCGCAACCCUUGCCACUAAUUGCCAUCAUUGAGUUGGGCACUUUAGUGGACUGCCGGUGACAAACCGGAGGAAGGUGGGGAUGACGUCAAGUCCUCGUGGCCCUUACUGGGUAGGGCUUCACACGUCAUACAAUGGUCGGUUACAGAGGGUUGCCAAGCCGCGAGGUGGAGCUUAAUCC
rnacentral:rRNA from 1 species